GGAGACAGAGAGAAGGAACAGCAAACCCCGGAGGCUAACCCAGAGAAUUCAGAGCAACCCUAAAGGAAACCUUGAAGGAAAAUCUGCACAAAGAUUAUCUCCGCCCAACUCAACCCAGCGCCAACCCUAAAAGUGACUUGCCAAUUCAAGGUUGCAAUUCAAUUGCAAACAGGUUUGCAUUACUAUUACCGCUUUAUCGCUUUAUGUUCUUAAUUUACAUGUGAUAUCAUAAUUGAAUUCAUAAAUAUAUUUGAGGUUCU
rnacentral:lncRNA from 1 species